UACGGAGGGGGCGAGCGUUAUUCGGAAUUAUUGGCGUAAAGGGCGCGUUGGCGGCUUGACAAGUCAAAGGUGAAAUCCCUCGGCUCAACUGAGGAACUGCCUUUGAAACUGUCUGGCUUGAGGCCGGGAGGGGGUAGCGGAAUUCCCAGUGUAGCGGUGAAAUGCGUAGAUAUUGGGAGGAACACCAGUGGCGAAGGCGGCUACCUGGACCGGUUCUGACGCUGAUGCGCGAAAGCGUGGGUAGCAAACAGG
rnacentral:rRNA from 1 species